CAGUCGCCACGGGAAUACGAAGGGGGCUAGCGUUGCUCGGAAUUACUGGGCGUAAAGGGCGCGUAGGCGGCGCUCCAAGUUAGGCGUGAAAUUCCCGGGCUCAACCUGGGGACUGCGCUUAAGACUGGAGUGCUUGAGGAUGGAAGAGGGUUGUGGAAUUCCCAGUGUAGAGGUGAAAUUCGUAGACAUUGGGAAGAACACCGGUGGCGAAGGCGGCAACCUGGUCCAUUACUGACGCUGAGGCACGAAAGCGUGGGGAGCAAACAGGAUUAGAUACCCCGGUAGUCCCUGUCUCUUAUAC
rnacentral:rRNA from 1 species